rnacentral:rRNA from 1 species
AUUGAACGCUGGCGGCAGGCCUAACACAUGCAAGUCGAGCGGAGCGGCGGACGGGUGAGUAAUGCCUCGGAAUCUGCCUGGUAGUGGGGGAUAACGUCCGGAAACGGGCGCUAAUACCGCAUACUAUCAGAUGACCCUAGGUCGGAUUAGCUAGUUGGGGGGGUAAAGGCCUACAAAGGCGACGAUCCGUAACUGGUCUGAGAGGAUGAUCAGGAAAACUGGAACUGAGAAACGGUCCAGAAGCCUACGGUAGUCAGCAGUGGGGAAUAUUGGACAAUGUGCGAAAGCCUGAUCCAGCCAUGCCGCGUGUGUGAAGAAGGUCUUCGGAUUGUAAAGCACUUUAAGUUGGGAGGCGUUACCAACAGAAUAAGCACCGGCGAACUUCGUGCCAGCCGCCGCGGUAAUAC